GAUGAACGCUGGCGGCGUGCCUAAUACAUGCAAGUCGAGCGAACAGACGAGGAGCUUGCUCCUCUGGCGUUAGCGGCGGACGGGUGAGUAACACGUGGAUAACCUACCUAUAAGACUGGGAUAACUUCGGGAAACCGGAGCUAAUACCGGAUAAUAUAUUGAACCGCAUGGUUCAAUAGUGAAAGACGGUUUUGCUGUCUCUUAUAGAUGGAUCCGCGCCGCAUUAGCUAGUUGGUAAGGUAACGGCUUACCAAGGCAACGAUGCGUAGCCGACCUGAGAGGGUGAUCGGCCACACUGGAACUGAGACACGGUCCAGACUCCUACGGGAGGCAGCAGUAGGGAAUCUUCCGCAAUGGGCGAAAGCCUGACGGAGCAACGCCGCGUGAGUGAUGAAGGUCUUCGGAUCGUAAAACUCUGUUAUUAGGGAAGAACAAAUGUGUAAGUAACUAUGCACGUCUUGACGGUACCUAAUCAGAAAGCCACGGCUAACUACGUG
rnacentral:rRNA from 1 species